rnacentral:rRNA from 1 species
UACGUAGGGCGCAAGCGUUGUCCGGAAUUAUUGGGCGUAAAGAGCUCGUAGGCGGCUUGUCACGUCGGGGUGUGAAAAGCCCCGGGGGCUUAACCCCCGGGGUCUGCAUUCGAUACGGGCAGGCUAGAGUGUGGUAGGGGAGAUCGGAAUUCCUGGUGUAGCGGUGAAAUGCGCAGAUAUCGGAAGGAACACCAGUGGCGAAAGCGGCUUCCUGGUCCAGCACCGACGUUCAGGCACGAAAGCGUGGGGAGCAAACAGG